UUGCUAGAUACUUCUAGAAACUCUACACGCACACUCGCACUGAGCUAGUGGUUACUAAAACCGUUACAACAAUAUUGCCAGCUCAGCAUAACCAACUUAUAACUAACACACUCAGCUGCAGGGGAAACCAUCAAGCUUACUGCGCAUCCUCUGUAAUCAAGCUUCUUUAAGCAUGCUCUGCAGAUCAUAUUUUUGUGGGUCUUACAUUAUCCAAAAAAAUAACUCGUCCAUCUAGUAACUGCAAGUACAUACUGUGAGAUGCUUAAACUCAACAAUAUAAGCAUGGUAAAUUAGAGAAAAAUGAUGCAAAUUAGAUACACCUGCACAGAAUGCCAGUUAAUUUGGUCAUAAUUAGAUAACAAGAUUGCAAAUUCUGCAGCCAAAGGUAGAACGCAACUAAGGAAAUCAAAUAUGAACAUGUCUUCAAUCUCAAAAUAUUAAGAGUAGCAUAAGUAACUUGUGAAACAGUUAUAAGUUCAAAGGAAUUAGAUGAUGGCAUGGUUGAAUUUAUAAAUAUUUGAUAUUUUGGACCGAACAGGGCAAACAGAUGGAUCCAGAUAAUUAAGAAAAAAUAUCAAUUCCAUGCAACCAAAUUAGUGUGUACAAUGCAAUUGCCUUUCCCUAUGAGAGUAGAGAGCCUAAAUACAAGCAAAAACCUACUAAUGCAUCUGCAGAAGCUCACAUUCACUAGCUGCAUGAUUAAAUCACUGGAUGGUCUCGCUAUGCGGUGAAGAAUGAAAUAAUUAACGACCUGAUAAGGCUGCAACGUGAAGAAACUAUUCACCAGAAAAAGUUCAAAAUCAAAUCAACGUGGUUUUGAUUUUGGAAAAAAUGAAACAAUACGUAGUGAAUGAAUCUGCUCGUAACUAUGCAAGACACAAUCACUUCCCAGGAUCUCAGAUAUAGAUUUACCAAGUUGCACAGAUUGAAGAACGAAUCCAGAAAGAAUCAAUUUAACACAAGAAUUAAGAGAACUGAAAAGAAUAGAAACAAACACAGACAACACAAGAAUCAAUUACGUGGUUCGGUUGCACCAAGGAGGCACAACCUACAUCCACCACGGGAGAUGCUUUGGAGAGCUUUUAUUGAAUAACAAUGGAUGAUCUUUUACAGGGCUUUUACUUAAGAUUACAGAGAACUCAUCUUUCACAGUCUCUGAUAUCUCUCUCUCUUAACACGGUUACACACACGCUCAGCUCACAAACUGAACUACAAGAGCAACGAAUCAGCUAAAUCCAGAUUGCACAGCUUGUUGACACGUUGAGUAACAGACUUAACGAACUGAAUCAAGUUGCCUCGCACGGCUAUCACGUGCAUCACUUAAAGCUUUCCCUUAAACGACACAGAAGAACUGCCGUUUCAAGCUUAAGAAACAAGUGAUUACACAGGUGCUUCAGCCCGUGACUUUUAAGUGCUCUUAUCUUAUAUUGCCAAAACGCUGCCGUUUAGAGAUGAUGAGUUUGAUUCACCAGCAAGCCUCACACAAUAUCACUUGAGCAACACUAUAAAAUUAUUCAAAGAAAUCUCUAGGUCAGUAUCCAAAUAUGUGGCUCCGUCAGUUCCACCACAACCCAAAAUAUCAGAUCCCCCCAUUUGGAUUCGACUGAUCAAUUUGAGCAUAUAAAAUCGGGUUUUAAAUUUCCCUAAUCAAAAUUUAUAUUCCGCAGAAUCGGUUCCUUUAACAUGAUGCAUUACAUAAUAUUUUGUUUGCAAAAUAAAGAAGAAAGAUGACAUAAUAGAAACACUCGCAGAGAGAGAAUACCUUUGACGAAAAGCUUAGAAGUGAAUCCUCUGUAAAAUACGAGUUGAGCUGCUGAAUUUUUCGAGUUUGAAUGAGAGACUGCGCCAUUUCUGAAAAUGUUUUUUUCUCAUUAGCGCCGCCAUUUUUGUAAUAGAGGGUAAAGAAAUAAGUAACAAAGUAAGAGGUGAGCAGAAGCGGCCCAAUUUAGUUAUAUGCAUGUAUGUGAUCAAAAUUGGAUGGUUAAAUUUUGUUGUUUCCAAUAAUUUUAUGUUGUAUCUUU
rnacentral:lncRNA from 1 species